GGGAAGGUAGCUCAGUGGUAGAGCACUUGACUUUCAUGCAGGAGGCCCUGGGUUCAAUUCCUCAGCACCA
rfam:Dipodomys ordii contig_9133, whole genome shotgun sequence.